rnacentral:rRNA from 1 species
GCCUUAGUAACGGCGAGUGAAGCGGCAAAAGCUCAAAUUUGAAAUCUGGCACCUUCGGUGUCCGAGUUGUAAUUUGAAGAAGGUAACUUUGGAGUUGGCUCUUGUCUAUGUUCCUUGGAACAGGACGUCACAGAGGGUGAGAAUCCCGUGCGAUGAGAUGCCCAAUUCUAUGUAAAGUGCUUUCGAAGAGUCGAGUUGUUUGGGAAUGCAGCUCUAAGUGGGUGGUAAAUUCCAUCUAAAGCUAAAUAUUGGCGAGAGACCGAUAGCGAACAAGUACAGUGAUGGAAAGAUGAAAAGAACUUUGAAAAGAGAGUGAAAAAGUACGUGAAAUUGUUGAAAGGGAAGGGCUUGAGAUCAGACUUGGUAUUUUGCGAUCCUUUCCUUCUUGGUUGGGUUCCUCGCAGCUUACUGGGCCAGCAUCGGUUUGGAUGGUAGGAUAAUGACUAAGGAAUGUGGCUCUACUUCGGUGGAGUGU